UCAGGACCACCCCCAUCCAUGGACCAGGAACAAGAUUUGGUCGGCCCUGCUGUGAGACGUCUCCAUGGAUUGGACCACUGGUUCCAUGUCUCCUCCAGUAAAGUGUCUUAGGAGGGUUUAAUUCAAAGAUGCUAAAUGAUGAUGCAUUGAUGCACUGAACACACCAAGAGUUGUGCACACAUAUCUGAGCUACAAGAGAGUGAAAUGACUGUUCUGGCUGCGGAGGUGCCACAGAGGCCGCCAACUCUCCAGCCUGGUCCUGUAACUCCACCAAUGAACUGACGAAGCCUGGACCUGGGUGAUUCAGAAACCAUAUGGAUAGAUGAUAUUACUGCUCCUGCUGUGCUCUCCCCCUCCCCCACAGCCUUUGCAGCAAUAAAACU